rnacentral:rRNA from 1 species
UACAGAGGGGCAAGCGUUAUUCGGAAUUAUUGGGCGUAAAGGGCGCGUAGGCGGCUUGGCAAGUGGAAGGUGAAAUCCCUCGGCUUAACCGAGGAACUGCCCUCCAAACUGCUUGGCUUGAGACCGGGAGAGGUGAGUGGAAUUCCCAGUGUAGCGGUGAAAUGCGUAGAUAUUGGGAGGAACACCAGUGGCGAAGGCGGCUCACUGGACCGGUACUGACGCUGAUGAGCGAAAGCCAGGGGAGCAAAGCGGGG